rnacentral:tRNA from 1 species
UAAGUUAAAGCUUAAGUAAAAGCACACAGCUGUUACCUGUGAGACUGUACUCCCUACUAACUUAC